rnacentral:rRNA from 1 species
GCCUAACACAUGCAAGUCGAACGGCAGCACAGGGGAGCUUGCUCCCUGGGUGGCGAGUGGCGGACGGGUGAGUAAUACAUCGGGACCUACCCAUGACGUGGGGGAUAACCUCGGGAAACCGGGACUAAUACCGCAUACGUCCUACGGGAGAAAGCGGGGGACCUUCGGGCCUCGCGCGUCUGGACGGACCGAUGUUCGAUUAGCUAGUUGGUGGGGUAAAGGCCUACCAAGGCGACGAUCGAUAGCUGGUCUGAGAGGAUGAUCAGCCACAUUGGGACUGAGACACGGCCCAAACUCCUACGGGAGGCAGCAGUGGGGAAUAUUGGACAAUGGGCGCAAGCCUGAUCCAGCAAUGCCGCGUGUGUGAAGAAGGCCUUCGGGUUGUAAAGCACUUUUAUCAGGAGCGAAAUCGGCACGGUCAAUAACCGUGGCGUCUGACGGUACCUGAGGAAUAAGCACCGGCUAACUUCGUGCCAGCAGCCGCGGUAAUACGAAGGGUGCAAGCGUUAAUCGGAAUUACUGGGCGUAAAGGGUGCGUAGGCGGUUAGUUAAGUCUGUUGUGAAAUCCCCGGGCUCAACCUGGGAAUGGCAAUGGAUACUGGCUGCUAGAGUGUGUCAGAGGAUGGUGGAAUUCCCGGUGUAGCGGUGAAAUGCGUAGAGAUCGGGAGGAACAUCAGUGGCGAAGGCGGCCAUCUGGGACAACACUGAGGCUGAAGCACGAAAGCGUGGGGGAGCAAAAGCGUUAGAUACCCUGGUAGCCCGCGCCCUAAACGAUGCGAACUGGACGUUGGUCUCAACUGGAGAUCAGUGUCGAAGCUAACGCGUUAAGUUCGCCGCCUGGGAGUACGGUCGCAAGACUGAAACUCAAAGGAAUUGACGGGGGCCCGCACAAGCGGUGGAGUAUGUGGUUUAAUUCGAUGCAACGCGAAGAACCUUACCUGGCCUUGACAUGUCGCGAAUNCUGCAGAGAUGCGGGAGUGCCUUCGGGAAUGCGAACACAGGUGCUGCAUGGCUGUCGUCAGCUCGUGUCGUGAGAUGUUGGGUUAAGUCCCGCAACGAGCGCAACCUUGUCCUUAGUUGCCAGCACGUAAUGGUG